AGAGUUUGAUCAUGGCUCAGAUUGAACGCUGGCGGCAGGCCUAACACAUGCAAGUCGAACGGUAACAGGAAGAAGCUUGCUUCUUUGCUGACGAGUGGCGGACGGGUGAGUAAUGUCUGGGAAACUGCCUGAUGGAGGGGGAUAACUACUGGAAACGGUAGCUAAUACCGCAUAACGUCGCAAGACCAAAGAGGGGGACCUUCGGGCCUCUUGCCAUCGGAUGUGCCCAGAUGGGAUUAGCUAGUAGGUGGGGUAACGGCUCACCUAGGCGACGAUCCCUAGCUGGUCUGAGAGGAUGACCAGCCACACUGGAACUGAGACACGGUCCAGACUCCUACGGGAGGCAGCAGUGGGGAAUAUUGCACAAUGGGCGCAAGCCUGAUGCAGCCAUGCCGCGUGUAUGAAGAAGGCCUUCGGGUUGUAAAGUACUUUCAGCGGGGAGGAAGGGAGUAAAGUUAAUACCUUUGCUCAUUGACGUUACCCGCAGAAGAAGCACCGGCUAACUCCGUGCCAGCAGCCGCGGUAAUACGGAGGGUGCAAGCGUUAAUCGGAAUUACUGGGCGUAAAGCGCACGCAGGCGGUUUGUUAAGUCAGAUGUGAAAUCCCCGGGCUCAACCUGGGAACUGCAUCUGAUACUGGCAAGCUUGAGUCUCGUAGAGGGGGGUAGAAUUCCAGGUGUAGCGGUGAAAUGCGUAGAGAUCUGGAGGAAUACCGGUGGCGAAGGCGGCCCCCUGGACGAAGACUGACGCUCAGGUGCGAAAGCGUGGGGAGCAAACAGGAUUAGGUACCCUGGUAGUCCACGCCGUAAACGAUGUCGACUUGGAGGUUGUGCCCUUGAGGCGUGGCUUCCGGAGCUAACGCGUUAAGUCGACCGCCUGGGGAGUACGGCCGCAAGGUUAAAACUCAAAUGAAUUGACGGGGGCCCGCACAAGCGGUGGAGCAUGUGGUUUAAUUCGAUGCAACGCGAAGAACCUUACCUGGUCUUGACAUCCACGGAAGUUUUCAGAGAUGAGAAUGUGCCUUCGGGAACCGUGAGACAGGUGCUGCAUGGCUGUCGUCAGCUCGUGUUGUGAAAUGUUGGGUUAAGUCCCGCAACGAGCGCAACCCUUAUCCUUUGUUGCCAGCGGUCCGGCCGGGAACUCAAAGGAGACUGCCAGUGAUAAACUGGAGGAAGGUGGGGAUGACGUCAAGUCAUCAUGGCCCUUACGACCAGGGCUACACACGUGCUACAAUGGCGCAUACAAAGAGAAGCGACCUCGCGAGAGCAAGCGGACCUCAUAAAGUGCGUCGUAGUCCGGAUUGGAGUCUGCAACUCGACUCCAUGAAGUCGGAAUCGCUAGUAAUCGUGGAUCAGAAUGCCACGGUGAAUACGUUCCCGGGCCUUGUACACACCGCCCGUCACACCAUGGGAGUGGGUUGCAAAAGAAGUAGGUAGCUUAACCUUCGGGAGGGCGCUUACCACUUUGUGAUUCAUGACUGGGGUGAAGUCGUAACAAGGUAACCGUAGGGGAACCUGCGGUUG
rnacentral:rRNA from 1 species